rnacentral:sRNA from 1 species
AAACCUGGCAUCUCCUCCGGAGGUCGACCAGGUCGUCAUUCGUCAUCUGCGUGCCUCUCCCUUGCUUGGCAGCCUUUUUCUUCUUCGGCUUGUCGGCUCUGAUUGACGGCGGACGAAUUGGACCCAUUCCGCCUAGGGUUAUGCCGCGUCUUUGUACUCGCGGCAGUGACGCCGCCGACCUCGUCUCGAACGAACUUGAAUCGUCGCCGUAACUGUGGUUGCUUUUGUUCUGAGAAUCUUCGAAGUCGCUUAUCUUUGGGUUUCGACGGAGAAAGACGAGAGAGAUGAAAGAAAAGAGCAAUGAAGGCAGAUCGAGAAAGAGGGAAUAGCAGAAAAACGAAGGAGAUAGCAAAAAAAAUAAAGGCGAGAUUUUUCUACGUCUACAAAACAAAGCGCAGUAAAUAAUAAAGGAGGAGAGAAGUUACCUUGAGAGUUGUGUGAGUUGACGUGACGUCAAGUGGAGAGAUGGGAAGUUAUUUAAAGCCAUCAUCACCAUAAUUUUCGAGAUUCCAGAGAUCUCUUCUCCGCGUCCGAUCUGGACCGUCAGAUGCGGUGCGCUGAAGAGAUGCUCCAUCUCAGCCGUCCACAUCAGUAGCGACUCAUCUCGCGUAUCUCCUCGAAAUCUUUCGGUUGGGGGGAAUCUGAAAUUAAAUCGAAAUUGUUGAGUUUAUCCUCAAAACCGACUGAUCUUGUCACAUUUAUCUCCUCAUCAAGAAUAUUUUCGCAAUCUUACCUGACCUAUAUGUCCGCACAUCGUGUUCGCCUACUCACUCAAUGGGCUGGAGGGCAAAUGUUGGAGCUCGAUUCCCCUCCAGGAAUCCACCUGCGAAAAUACCAAGCCAGCCAACGAAAGCCCACCAAGCCCACUAAGUAGAGGACAUACGCAGCUGACGAGCCCACAUACGCGAAUGGGUAUUUGGGCUAGAUAAGCCCAGUCACCUGAUGCAGGGAGAUAAGCGAAUAAUGACCUCGGAACUGACGAGGAGAUAUUCGCGGAGCUGACCUGAUAUCUCGGAACUGACCUGCCGAAUAUCCAGGAGGAUCUCCGCAGAUCCCGGACGGAGCUACCACGUGCGUAGACCUAUAUAAGGGAGCUAGGACGACUUGGAAGAGACAUUCAAUCCAGCUUACAUUGAUACACACACUUUUACACUUGUAAUCCCUUUUCACAUUAUAAAAGCUUUGUCAUAAUUAAUACAAAAGUCCAUUCGUUCUUACCAAUACAACUCUCAAGGUUUCAGUGAAGAUCUAGGCCUCCUUUCUCAUAAUCUUAAAUACAAAUCUCUAGUGUGGAUUUCAGAACCCAAAAUAGCUUUGCAUACAUAUUGCAUUUCUGAGUUGUUUUCAGGUGAUUUGGAGCUGUUGGCAAGCAAAGUGGAAGAAGCGAGCCAGAAUCAGAGGACAUACUCGACCUCCAGGCCGUGUACAUCUAGCACCAUACUCGACCCCCUGGUUGAGUAUCUUUGGAGCCAUUCUUCCCAUCUACUCGACCGCGUGGUCGAGUAACCUCAGCUCAGGCCACUCGAUGACGCCACUCGACCCUGUGGUCGAGUAUCACUUCGCCAUACCACCUGACCACACUCGACUGUUCACUCUACCACGUUACUCGACCCCUGGUCGAGUAUCAUCACUCACCACCAAUACCAUCACUUGACCAAGCACUCGAUCACAUCUUCGGAGUCUACUCAAAUCCGCACUCAACCAGACAAGCUGAGCACAAGGAAGAGAAGAGGAGAAGACGAAGUGUUUGGAAGCGGCUUGGACCUCCAUCGGAUCACGAAGCCCAUCUCGGCCCAUUAUCACUCUAUGGGCG